UCGGCUUAGAGUUUGAUCAUGGCUCACAUUGAACGCUGGCGGCAGGCCUAACACAUGCCAGUCCAGCGGUAGGGAAGCUUGCUUCUCACGAGCGGCGGACGGGUGAGUAAUGUAUGGGGAUCUGCCCGAUAGAGGGGGAUAACUACUGGAAACGGUAGCUAAUACCGCAUAAUCUCUAAGGAGCAAAGCAGUCCGUUGCGCUAUCGGAUGAACCCAUAUGGGAUUAGCUAGUUGGUGAGGUAAUGGCUCACCAAGGCGACUAUCCCUAGCUGGUCUGAGAGGAUGAUCAGCCACACUGGGACUGAGACACGGCCCAGACUCCUACCGGAGGCAGCAGUGGGGAAUAUUGCACAAUGGGCGCAAGCCUGAUGCAGCCAUGCCGCGUGUAUGAAGAAGGCCUUAGGGUUGUAAAGUACUUUCAGUUGGGAGGAAGGCGUUGAUUAAUAUCAACGAUUGACGUUACCAACAGAAGAAGCACCGGCUAACUCCGUGCCAGCAGCCGCGGUAAUACGGAGGGUGCAAGCGUUAAUCGGAAUUACUGGGCGUAAAGCGCACGCAGGCGGUUGAUUAAGUUAGAUGUGAAAUC
rnacentral:rRNA from 1 species